CCCUUAGAUGUUCUGGGCUGCACGCGCGCUACACUGAUGCAUGCAACGAGUUUUCGACCUUGCCUGAAAAGGUUGGGUAAUCUGUUUAACAUGUGUCGUGAUGGGGAUAGACCAUUGCAAUUAUUGAUCUUCAACGAGGAAUUCCUAGUAAGCGCGAGUCAUCAGCUCGUGCUGAUUAUGUCCCUGCCCUUUGUACACACCGCCCGUCGCUCCUACCGAUUGAGUGGUCCGGUGAGGCUUUGGGAUCUGAGCGGAAAGAGCGUUUCGCUGUUUCUGCUCGGAAAACUCAGUCGAACCUUAUCAUUUAGAGGAAGGAGAAGUCGUAACA
rnacentral:rRNA from 1 species